UCAUUGUAAGAAAGCCCAAGAGUAAGCUAUGUGAGGUUGAUGGCGAUGCUAAAAGUGAUCGACUUACAAGGGUAUGAAAAUGGGAGCUUGAUAUUAAAUCAAGAAUUGUGCGAUUUUAUUUGUGGUUUUGGAUUGAUGACGAAAUGGAAUGGAAUCGAAUUUUGUAUUAUGAAAAUAUAGCGGAAAAUGAUCGUGAAAUGAAUCGGUCCAUUUUUUUUAAUUAACAAAAUUAAUUGAUUAAAAUCUAAU
rnacentral:lncRNA from 1 species